rnacentral:rRNA from 1 species
ACACGGAAGGCCCGAGCGUUAAUCGGAAUCACUGGGCUUAAAAGGGUGCGUAGGCGGAUGUGCAAGCGUCCUGUGAAAGCCCUCGGCUCAACCGAGGAAUAGCAGGGCGAACUGCAUGUCUUGAGGCAGGUAGGGGGCGACGGAACUGUCGGUGGAGCGGUGAAAUGCGUAGAUAUCGACAGGAACGCCAGUGGCGAAGGCGGUCGCCUGGGCCUGUCCUGACGCUGAGGCACGAAAGCGUGGGGAGCAAACAGGAUUAGAUACCCUGGUAGUCCACGCCGUAAACGAUGUGCACUAGAUCGGAGUAGAUCUGACUCUUUUUCGGUCGAAGGAAAACCAUUAAGUGCACCGCCUGGGGAGUAUGGUCGCAAGGCUAAAACUCAAAGGAAUUGACGGGGCUCACACAAGCGGUGGAGCAUGUUGCUUAAUUCGAGGCAACGCGAAGAACCUUACCUGGGUUUGACAUGCACGGAUUAACUCUU